GCAGCAUGGGGGGUACAGUGUGGCCGGGAGUGCAGUGCCAGAGGUGCAGGCUGUUGGACGGACCCUCGAGGGCUGAGCCCCAGCCCUUGUUGGGCCCCUGCUGGUCCCCUUGCUCUGGCAGGCUCCUUGUGCCUUCCUGGUCUCAAGGGGCCCCAGGGAUGAGUGGUCCUGGGUUAGUGUGGGCUCCAACCGCUAAGGUGUUGGCAAAUGAUGGCCCUUUCCGAGGCCGGGGAGCACAAGGUUGCAUGACUACCUACACAGAGGGGCCAGCCACAGCCUCCUCUCACACCGGCCAGUGGCUGAGCCCAUGAGGACACUGAGGCUGGGAAGCCACAGAGGAGGUUGGCGGGGCCACUGGGACUGGACAGGGUCAAGGAUGAGACCAGCUCGCACCCGGGGCCCUGGAUGGAGCCUCCCCUCCAGCUUCUCUGGGACUGAGGCUGGGAGCUGUCAGGAAGACGAACAGGACUCGCUGGCCCUGGUUGCCUCUGCCGUCCCCUAGAGCUGGGGGAGCCUGCAAGGCAGUCAGCUGGAGAGAGGGUCCGGGUUCAGGCAUCCUUCUGAGCAGUUUCAUGGCUUUUCUGGCAUAACUUUCCAAACCCCAAAUGCCCUCGGAUGCACUCAGAUGCGCCGUACACAACAGGAAGCUCAGCAGGACACGCAGUCUAGGAACAUGCACGACCCAGGAGACACCCAAGACCCAGGGGAUGUGUGACCCGGGAGACACAUGUGACAUCGCCACGGAGCACAGCAGAGACGGAACAGCUGCAAAGGUCACGGCGCCCACCCAGAGCUGGUAGAUGGGGCGCUGGCGCCGCAGAGGUGGGCCCCACAGCCUUCCACACAGGGGCAUCUGACCCACGGCCCGGCCCCUUGCAAAGCCAAGGCCGCAGAGGGGGAAGGUGCAGGAGCUCUGAGAUGAAAGAGGUGAUGAGUUUGCGGCAAUGUAGGAAUGAAAUACAUCGGCCACAGGAGGACGCAGGUGCAAACCACCGAAAUAAAGCCAUUGCCACACAGGCGGACAGGACGGGGCUCAGGGAGAACCGCUGCUUUUCUCGGGUGCGAUCAUGGUGGGGUGUCGGGACAUGAGGUGAAAUGUGCUGGGGCGUGUGAGGGUGCCUCAGUGUGCUUCCCAGCAUUCAUCCAGGAGAAAACAGACAAUGCGUGACACGGCAACAGACGUGUGCACACAUGACACAGAAACGCACGUGCACAUGCAGAAACACAUGCACACAUGCGCACACGUGCACACACGACACAGAAACGCG
rnacentral:lncRNA from 10 species